GACGAACGCUGGCGGCGUGCCUAAUACAUGCAAGUCGAGCGGACUUGAUGGAGUGCUUGCACUCCUGAUGGUUAGCGGCGGACGGGUGAGUAACACGUAGGCAACCUGCCCUCAAGACUGGGAUAACUACCGGAAACGGUAGCUAAUACCGGAUAAUUUAUUUCACAGCAUUGUGGAAUAAUGAAAGACGGAGCAAUCUGUCACUUGGGGAUGGGCCUGCGGCGCAUUAGCUAGUUGGUGGGGUAAUGGCUCACCAAGGCGACGAUGCGUAGCCGACCUGAGAGGGUGAACGGCCACACUGGGACUGAGACACGGCCCAGACUCCUACGGGAGGCAGCAGUAGGGAAUCUUCCGCAAUGGGCGAAAGCCUGACGGAGCAACGCCGCGUGAGUGAUGAAGGUUUUCGGAUCGUAAAGCUCUGUUGCCAAGGAAGAACGUCUUCUAGAGUAACUGCUAGGAGAGUGACGGUACUUGAGAAGAAAGCCCCGGCUAACUACGUGCCAGCAGCCGCGGUAAUACGUAGGGGGCAAGCGUUGUCCGGAAUUAUUGGGCGUAAAGCGCGCGCAGGCGGUUCUUUAAGUCUGGUGUUUAAACCCGAGGCUCAACUUCGGGUCGCACUGGAAACUGGGGGACUUGAGUGCAGAAAAGGAGAGUGGAAUUCCACGUGUAGCGGUGAAAAUGCGUAAAUAU
rnacentral:rRNA from 1 species